ensembl:lncRNA
UAUCAACAUGGAUUAUCACCGAUGAUGAUAACCUUCAUCACUCAGUUGGGGUGAUAUCUGCCAGGUUUGUCCACUGGAAAGCUGCUAUUUUCCUCUUUCUGUUUGUUAGAGCUGCCAUCAUGAACAGAAACGUCCUGGUCAGAGACUGCUGCCCCAGCCUGGGUUUCAGAAUGGAGAUGCCAUGAAGCAGAGCAGCUGGCCACAUGGAGAGAGAAACAAGUCAGAUAGAAACUGUUGCUACGGUGAGACAUAAACAGUUCAGGGUCAUUUGUGACCUCAGCAGAACUCAGCCUAGCCUGACUAUUCACCUGCUUCCCCAAGGAAUCUCAAUCCAUCCUGGACCCCUGGCCCAGAGUGUACCCUCUGUACCUCUUGCCAUGUCUGGGCCUACUUGGUUAGCUAACUUGUCACACUUCUCUCUUCUCCCAAAGGGGACUGUCGUGUUUUAAGGGCAAGCCAUGUGCCUGCUUCCUUCACCUCCUUACUCACACCUAGAAUAGUCUACGUACAUAGCUGCCCUGCUGCUCACCCCUCAGAUGACUACUCUUCACCAUGUGCUGGCUGGUGGCUGCCAGUGUUCAUAGGGAGCUGAAGACUCAUGAGCUGGCACUAGCCAAACACAUCAAGCUCAACCCUACGUCUCCAGUUACCCCUUUAUCGGCUGGGUCUGGUGUGAGGAGAGUGAGGUACCAGGGGUGCCAAAUUGAAGAAAAUCCCAGCUCGACCACAGGGAUGUUGACUGCGACCCUCUGGUGCCGGGGGUGCUUGGAUCUGUCUCCACUUGCUCCUCGGACCACGUCUGCUCUCCCCGUUAGCUUCUCCAGGAGACAAAGCUCAAGCUACCAGCCCAUUAAGAUAUCAGGGUGUCACAGAGGGCCAGCAGACCCGAAGCAGAGGACAGCUGAGUCUAAGGGAUGAGACCGGCUUCCUCAGUAACCUGGGGACACAUGCCAUCAGAAGCUCAGGCUGAAAGACCUGGGGAAGAAGGUCCUCCAACCUAGGCCUUGUUAACAACUGGUGUACGGAGAAUGCAUGCUGUUGGCUUGAGUCGUGUGGUGUGCCUUGAUUAGAAGUGUCGAUACAAGAAAUGUUAAUUAAGCCUCAGUCCUUGCUUGAUGUACCAGAUGAGGAAAAUCCAAGGGCAGGUUCGAUUUACUCCUCAGAAGCUAUUAGCAUUAAAGAAAUUCCAAAAACCUCAAUAAAUUAUAAUUUUGGAGCUGAAAAAUGAUCAUCUUUCCCACCUCCCCAUUUGGACAUUAGGACUGAAAAUAGCAAAGGCUUGAAUUAAG